UACGAAGGGGGCUAGCGUUGCUCGGAAUCACUGGGCGUAAAGGGUGCGUAGGCGGGUUUUAAGUCAGAGGUGAAAUCCUGGAGCUCAACUCCAGAACUGCCUUUGAUACUGAGAAUCUUGAGUUCGGGAGAGGUGAGUGGAACUGCGAGUGUAGAGGUGAAAUUCGUAGAUAUUCGCAAGAACACCAGUGGCGAAGGCGGCUCACUGGCCCGAUAACUGACGCUGAGGCACGAAAGCG
rnacentral:rRNA from 1 species